UUCUGUUUUCAUGAACUUAAUGUUUAUGAAUGUAAAAGAUGGAAAGCAAAAUUCAACUCUGUUACACUAAUACAUCCCUAUUGAUGCAGUGGUAUAAAUGAGGCUAGAAUUUGACUUUGUUAAUACUGUCUAGAGAUGUUCAUGCUGCAAGAUAAAUUAUAUACGCUUUCAAACAAUGCUGCCAAUGCUCUCCUUUAUCUUACAAAACCUCUGCUGUUGCAACAUGAAACAGAGCCUAUUUUCUAAUGAUUUAAUGCUGACAAACAUGCACGAGAAAUAUUGGUUAGUAGCACCAGAUUCAUUUGUUUAUUAAGCCAGGUUUGAUGCUAAAUGUCUAGUGGCUAAAGGAUAAUAGCUUCUGAUGGAACAAAACAUCUGACGUCUGGUACAUUGUUAAAACUCUAGGAAACUUUCUAAGGAUCCAGCUUGGUAAUGAAUAUAGUUUAAUGAGCCAUAACAUACAGCAUUGUAUGUUAUUAAAAUUAAUCUGUUUACCUUUAUUUUAUUAUAUUGCAUCUGUUUCAACCUAUUCUGCUGAAGCAUAUAGCUGUUUGUAGGUUUUCAAAGAAGCAAACAAGUGGUCAAAGAGAGAAUAGUGAGGUUAUUUUCUAUUGUUUCUCAAUGCAAUAAAUCCCUUAUGCAAUUUGAGCCUCCAAACAUUAAAGUCUACUACAUCAUCCAGGAUACCGAUUAGAUUUAUAGUGAACCCUGUACCAAUUGAACUUACAAUGCUCAGUGGUCAUCUGUAGAGUGACAUGGAGUUAAAGAGAUUUAGAAUAAGAAUGUAUUAAAUGCUGUAAUGGUUGGUUGUUAGUUUUGUUUUUUUUUAAACUUUCAUGAAACUUUCAUUAAAGUAGCUAUAGUGUGAAUGUGAACCUACGAAAGCAAGGAAAUACAAUAGAAAUGUAUCAGAUGUCCCACCAAUUCCUUAUCAACUUAAUCAUCAUGAAACAUAUAAUGAGAGCUGACUAUUUAAAUUUCAAACACAUUUGGCCUGUAUAUUGGAUGACUUGGUAAAUUUCUUUCUUUGGCCUGCAUUUUCUUGUAUUUGUCAGUAUAAGUCAUAAUCUUGAUAAUGUUUGAAUUGGAGUUGGUUGAAUAGUCAGAAAAAAUCCUAAAAUAUUUACACACAUAUACAUGUAUAUACUGUAUAAUGUAUUUGACGAAAAUCAUUCCACCAUCUAUACAUCUGGCAAAUGGUUGGGAAAAAUGCACAAAUAAUUGAGAGGAACGGACAAGCUUAAUGAAUAUUAUUCAAUAACAUCUAAUUAUAAUGUUUAUUUCGUAUGCGAGUUUAUUUUAAGUUUGUAUUAGGGUAUCACAUGCCUUACAAUAAAUAAUGCAGGUGAUUUUCGCUCUAACAUUGUACCUCAAUUAAUUCAAACUGAUCUAAUCACAAAUUUAAGUCAACAUACUUAAAUCAGCUUAUUAUGAAUUUAGCUUUUCCACAUGGUUAAAAUAUAAGAAUUUUUAGAAAGAGAUUCUCUAUCUGCCUGUUGUCCUUUAUUUCUUCUAUAUGCUGGCCCAGUAUCUUCAAAUCCAAAGCCCAGUGAAUCUAGUUAUGUUAGUCUUCAGCUUUGGCUGUACCUCCUAUUUGGAAUCAUAAGCAAGUUUUUGUGAUUCUGCAUUUAUAUUCUCAUCUAAACCUUUCUGGCUUUUUACAGCCUCAGUAUUAAAUUACAUUGUGAUCUCAUGUGUUUACUCCACAGGUCCAGAUGCUGUAGAAUUUUGAUGCAUCUGGGAUUUCCCACUGAGCUACAGUAAGGUCUUAUUCCUAUCCACUCCCAACUAAAGCAUCUGGAAGAUUAAGCAGCCAGAUUCCCUGGUCAUACUACAUUUCUCAUCAUGUGCCAUGGUCUCUCUCAAUAGUAAAGGAAGGCAGUUGCAUCAUGGGAGAUGUAGUCUGGCUGGGGAGCCCAAUCUAUUGAAGAGAAUGGGGAUGAGGUGACUGAACUACAACUUUCACAAGGCACCAUGAUGAUACUUCUGAAUCAUAUUUUAAU